AAGUUUCACGAAAGUAUUCAUUGGUUCUGAAUUCGUAAUUUGCAUGCUAGAUGUGCAUGGUACAAAGCAUAAUGGAUCCGUUUUUGUCCCUUGUACUUUUUGUAUACACAGGUCUGACUAAAUAUCACAGUAUGGGAACAGACCAAUCACGAAUCAAGGCGUUGUAUGCCAGUCAUGAGUCUGUUCUCCGUUGACAACAUGGCAGCUCCUCCAGUGGCUCCUUGCUCAGAAGCACUCAUCAUCGAAAUUGAGCGGUGUCCAUGGCUAUGGAACGCAAGCCGUAUGGACUACAGGGACACUGGGAAGCGCAAAAAUUCCUGGAAGGCAAUUGGAAUCGCUUUCUCUAGGAUUCCAACCCACCAACUGGGGAUUCGAUUCUUUGGGCCGGCGGUUUGCCUCGGAGCCACAGAUGCGGCCUCCCUGCAGCUGUCUGUGACCAUUCACGUCCGAGUGGGCAGCGCACACCCACCCACAACCCACUGCUCGCACCUCUCGUUUGCGUACCUCGCAUAACCAUUUCCCAAAGUCAUGGCACGAAAUGGGAAGCCAUUAUUAAUCGAGCGAUCAGUAAUGAAGAGAUCAAACAGGCAGAACAUAAAAAGACUACAUUUCAAGAUGCUGAAGGAGGCAGCGACUCUAACGCCUGCUGUCAGGCUUGGCUGGCCAUGAGGGCCAAGUAUGCGAGAGAAUCGAAGAAACAAAGAGGCCGGAGCGGUGCUGGCCGCGAUGGUCUUGCCGUGCCAACAUGGCACCUCUUCAAGUAACUGGCCUUCCUUAAGGGCCAGAUUCAGCACCGACGCACCAAAGUGCUCCCUGUUGCGGGGGGAGUGGCGUCCACUUCUGCAGCGGCAGCAGACGUUGAAAAAUGAGGCUUGAGCCCAGAGGCAAGUUUGCUUACACGCUACCGGUCUUUAUUCGGAGUGCAGACAAGCUGGCUAAGUUGACGUCAACCAGUUGGUGGCCAAAAUUACCUUCAGGGCUCCUAUUUUGGUCAUGGGCUUGGAGGUGAUCGAAUGUCACAGAAUGUGGAAGGCCAUCCGCAACCGCUAUGUUAAGAGACGAGAGCGGCGAAAGGCAAGAGUAAAGCUGGCGAGGAGGAUGUCCAGCCUCCCACGUGGGUUCUUUUCAAGUUCCUGGGGUUCCCCGAUGGUCAAAUCUGUGCAGAUGGUAGGCACAGAAUGUUUUGGACAACAAAGGGCACUGCAGAUUGUGCCGUAUUUUGUAUGCAUUGUAACGAUGACGUGGCAGAACCCUGGUUUGUCCCAAGACAAAAGGAGCCUCACACAACACCAUGUCUACAAACUGGAGUGAAGGAGCCCCCACUUCCGUGCCAGGAGAGAUCCUUGCGGAAAUGUAUUGCCCUGGAGAGACCGCAACCCCCGCAGAAAAUAGACAGCCUGGGAUGCCUGCUGAUGCCGAGAUGGAAGACAUACUGUAGCAUGAAGACAUACAUUUUAUUUAACAACUGCCUUCGAUAAGCAUGUUUGCAAGUGGCUCCUGUGUAAUUACCCUUUUCUCACUCUCCUCUUUCAUUUAAGCGAUUGGCUAUUCUUGGAGGCAGGUCCAAA